rnacentral:rRNA from 1 species
GACGAACACUGGCGGCGUGCCUAAUACAUGCAAGUCGAGCGGAUCAUUCCUUCGGGGAUGGUUAGCGGCGGACGGGUGAGUAACACGUAGGCAACCUGCCUGUAAGACCGGGAUAACUACCGGAAACGGUAGCUAAGACCGGAUAGCUGGUCUACUCGCAUGAGGGGAUCAUGAAACGCGGAGCAAUCUGCGGCUUACGGAUGGGCCUGCGGCGCAUUAGCUAGUUGGUGGGGUAACGGCCUACCAAGGCGACGAUGCGUAGCCGACCUGAGGGGGUGACCGGCCACACUGGGACUGAGACACGGCCCAGACUCCUACGGGAGGCAGCAGUAGGGAAUCUUCCGCAAUGGACGCAAGUCGGACGGAGCAACGCCGCGUGAGUGAGGAAGGCCUUCGGGUCGUAAAGCUCUGUUGCCCUGGACGAACGCCUGAUGGAGUAACUGCCAUCAGGGUGACGGUACAGGAGAAGAAAGCCCCGGCUAACUACGUGCCAGCCGCCGCUGUAA